AUGAAGAAGGUUGUGCUCAAGCUGGACGUGCACGACGACAGGCACAAGGCCAAGGCGCUCAAGGCCGUCUCCGGUCUCCACGGCAUCGACCAGCUGGGCGUGGACAUGAAGGAGCAGAAGAUGACCAUCGUGGGCACCGUCGACCCCGUAGCCGUCGUCGGCAAGCUGCGCAAGCUCUUCCCGGGCGUGCAGAUCGUCUCCGUCGGCCCGGCCAAGGAGGAGAAGAAGGACGACAAGAAGGACGGCGGAGGGGACAAGAAGCCCGCCGGAGACAAGAAGGAGGGCGACAAGAAGGACGGCGGCGGCGACAAGAAAGACGGGGCCAAGAAGGACGGCGGCGACAAGAAGCAGCAGGAGGCGAAGCCACCCAUGGCCGUGUACCCGCCCUACGGCUACGCGCACUACGGGUACCCGCCGCCGCCGCCGCCGCCGCCGCGCUACUUCGUCCGCAGCGCCGAGGAGGACCCCAACUCGUGCGUCAUCUGCUGA
rnacentral:rRNA from 1 species